CGGUCAGACAACUGUUUUGCUUAUAUAUCCUCUGAAAUAAGGUCAGAAAGUCUCUACCGGAUCACCGUAAACGAUCCGACUAUAAGAAAAACAUUUAUAUAU
rfam:Anaerotruncus sp. CAG:390 genomic scaffold, scf205